CGGACGGGUGAGUAACGCGUGAGAAUCUGCCCUCAGGAGGGGGAUAACGGCUGGAAACGGCCGCUAAUACCCCAUAUGCCGCGAGGUGAAAUGAAUUUCGCCUGAGGAUGAGCUCGCGUCUGAUUAGCUAGUUGGUGGGGUAAGAGCCUACCAAGGCAUCGAUCAGUAGCUGGUCUGAGAGGAUGAUCAGCCACACUGGGACUGAGACACGGCCCAAACUCCUACGAGAGGCAGCAGUGGGGAAUUUUCCGCAAUGGGCGAAAGCCUGACGGAGCAACGCCGCGUGAGGGAUGAAGGCCUCUGGGCUGUAAACCUCUUUUAUCAAGGAAGAAGAUCUGACGGUACUUGAUGAAUAAGCCACGGCUAAUUCCGUGCCAGCAGCCGCGGUAAUACGGGAGUGGCAAGCGUUAUCCGGAAUUAUUGGGCGUAAAGCGUCCGCAGGCGGUCUUGUAAGUCUGUCGUUAAAGCGUGGAGCUUAACUCCAUUUCAGCGAUGGAAACUGCAAGACUAGAGUGUGGUAGGGGCAGAGGGAAUUCCCGGUGUAGCGGUGAAAUGCGUAGAUAUCGGGAAGAACACCAGUGGCGAAGGCGCUCUGCUGGGCCAUAACUGACGCUCAUGGACGAAAGCCAGGGGAGCGAAAGGGAUUAGAUACCCCUGUAGUC
rnacentral:rRNA from 1 species